rnacentral:rRNA from 1 species
UACGGAGGGGACUAGCGUUGUUCGGAAUUACUGGGCGUAAAGCGCACGUAGGCGGAUUGUUAAGUCAGGGGUGAAAUCCCGAGGCUCAACCUCGGAACUGCCUUUGAUACCGGCAAUCUCGAGUCCGGAAGAGGUGAGUGGAAUUCCUAGUGUAGAGGUGAAAUUCGUAGAUAUUAGGAAGAACACCAGUGGCGAAGGCGGCUCACUGGUCCGGUACUGACGCUGAGGUGCGAAAGCGUGGGGAGCAAACAGG